rnacentral:rRNA from 1 species
UGCGUAGGCGGAUUAAUAAGUCAGUGGUGAAAUCUUUCGGCUCAACCGAGAAACUGCCAUUGAUACUGUUAAUCUUGAGUUCGGUUGAGGUAGGCGGAAUGUGUAAUGUAGCGGUGAAAUACUUAGAUAUUACACAGAACACCAAUUGCGUAGGCAGCUUACUAGACCGACACUGACGCUGAGGCACGAAAGCGUGGGGAGCGAACAGGAUUAGAUACCCUGGUAGUCC